UUUCCGUAGGUGAACCUGCGGAAGGAUCAUUACCGAGUGAGGGUCUCGCAGGCCCGACCUCCCACCCUGUGGUUUUGUUGCAUUGUUGAUUUGUGGGUUCCGCGUCGUUGAGGGUCCCCCGGAGGGUCACCGCUUUGGGCGGAUAACCGCAAGUAGCCCCCUUUAAUAAUAAGUAAAACUGUCGUCUUAAUCAUUAUAACUUAAAAAAAAGUUUCAACAAGGGAUCUCUUGGUUGUGGAAUGGAGGAAGAACGAAGAGAAUAGGAAUGACACACAUCUA
rnacentral:misc_RNA from 1 species